rnacentral:rRNA from 1 species
AAUGUGAACGUUACCAAACUGUUGCCUCGGCGGGAUCUCUGCCCCGGGUGCGUCGCAGCCCCGGACCAAGGCGCCCGCCGGAGGACCAACCAAAACUCUUUUUGUAUACCCCCUCGCGGGUUUUUUAUAAUCUGAGCCUUCUCGGCGCCUCUCGUAGGCGUUUCGAAAAUGAAUCAA